GACGAACGCUGGCGGCGUGCCUAAUACAUGCAAGUCGAACGCAGUGGGGACGGGUGAUUAACACGUGGGUAACCUCCCAUCAGAGGGGAUAACACUUGGAAACAGGUGCUAAACCGAUACUGAUGGAGGAACCCGCGGUACAUUAGAUAGGUGGUGCGGUAACGGCUUACCAAGGACACGAGGCAUAGCCGGCCUGAUAGGGGGAUCGGCCAACCUGGGACUGAGACACGGCCCAGACUCCUACGGGAGGCAGCAGUAGGGAAUCUUCGGCAAUGGACGAAAGUCUGACCGAGCCACGCCGCGUGAGUGAAGAAGGUUUUCGGAUCGUAAAACUCUGUUGUUAGAGAAGCGGUAUCUAACCAGAAAGCCACGGCUAACUACGUGCCAGCAGCCGCGGUAAUAC
rnacentral:rRNA from 1 species